GGAAAGACCCCGUGAACCUUUACUAUAGCUUGACACUGAACAUUGAGCCUUGAUGUGUAGGAUAGGUGGGAGGCUUUGAAGUGUGGACGCCAGUCUGCAUGGAGCCGACCUUGAAAUACCACCCUUUAAUGUUUGAUGUUCUAACGUUGGCCCCUAAUCGGGGUUGCGGACAGUGUCUGGUGGGUAGUUUGACUGGGGCGGUCUCCUCCUAAAGAGUAACGGAGGAGCACGAAGGUUGGCUAAUCCUGGUCGGACAUCAGGAGGUUAGUGCAAUGGCAUAAGCCAGCUUGACUGCGAGCGUGACGGCGCGAGCAGGUGCGAAAGCAGGUCAUAGUGAUCCGGUGGUUCUGAAUGGAAGGGCCAUCGCUCAACGGAUAAAAGGUACUCCGGGGAUAACAGGCUGAUACCGCCCAAGAGUUCAUAUCGACGGCGGUGUUUGGCACCUCGAUGUCGGCUCAUCACAUCCUGGGGCUGAAGUAGGUCCCAAGGGUAUGGCUGUUCGCCAUUUAAAGUGGUACGCGAGCUGGGUUUAGAACGUCGUGAGACAGUUCGGUCCCUAUCUGCCGUGGGCGCUGGAGAACUGAGGGGGGCUGCUCCUAGUACGAGAGGACCGGAGUGGACGCAUCACUGGUGUUCGGGUUGUCAUGCCAAUGGCACUGCCCGGUAGCUAAAUGCGGAAGAGAUAAGUGCUGAAAGCAUCUAAGCACGAAACUUGCCCCGAGAUGAGUUCUCCCUGACUCCCUGAGAG
rnacentral:rRNA from 1 species